GCUUAACACAUGCAAGUCGAGCGGUAAGGCCUUUCGGGGUACACGAGCGGCGAACGGGUGAGUAACACGUGGGUGAUCUGCCCUGCACUUCGGGAUAAGCCUGGGAAACUGGGUCUAAUACCGGAUAUGACCUCAUAUCGCAUGGUGGGUGGUGGAAAGAUUUAUCGGUGCAGGAUGGGCCCGCGGCCUAUCAGCUUGUUGGUGGGGUAAUGGCCUACCAAGGCGACGACGGGUAGCCGACCUGAGAGGGUGACCGGCCACACUGGGACUGAGACACGGCCCAGACUCCUACGGGAGGCAGCAGUGGGGAAUAUUGCACAAUGGGCGAAAGCCUGAUGCAGCGACGCCGCGUGAGGGAUGACGGCCUUCGGGUUGUAAACCUCUUUCAGCAGGGACGAAGCGCAAGUGACGGUACCUGCAGAAGAAGCACCGGCUAACUACGUGCCAGCAGCCGCGGUAAUACGUAGGGUGCAAGCGUUGUCCGGAAUUACUGGGCGUAAAGAGUUCGUAGGCGGUUUGUCGCGUCGUUUGUGAAAACCAGCAGCUCAACUGCUGGCUUGCAGGCGAUACGGGCAGACUUGAGUACUGCAGGGGAGACUGGAAUUCCUGGUGUAGCGGUGAAAUGCGCAGAUAUCAGGAGGAACACCGGUGGCGAAGGCGGGUCUCUGGGCAGUAACUGACGCUGAGGAACGAAAGCGUGGGUAGCGAACAGGAUUAGAUACCCUGGUAGUCCACGCCGUAAACGGUGGGCGCUAGGUGUGGGUUCCUUCC
rnacentral:rRNA from 1 species